rnacentral:rRNA from 1 species
UACGUAGGGUGCAAGCGUUGUCCGGAAUUAUUGGGCGUAAAGCGUGCGCAGGCGGUUAUGUAAGACAGGUGUGAAAUCCCCGGGCUUAACCUGGGAACUGCAUUUGUGACUGCAUAGCUAGAGUACGGUAGAGGGGGAUGGAAUUCCGCGUGUAGCAGUGAAAUGCGCAGAUAUCGGGAAGAACACCCGUGGCGAAGGCGGCUCUCUGGGACGGUACUGACGCUGAGACGCGAAAGCGUGGGGAGCGAACAGG